rnacentral:rRNA from 1 species
CAGCAGCCGCGGGAAAACAGAGGAUGCAAGCGUUAUCCGGAAUGAUUGGGCGUAAAGCGUCUGUAGGUGGCUUUUCAAGUCCGCCGUCAAAUCCCAGGGCUCAACCCUGGACAGGCGGUGGAAACUACCAAGCUGGAGUACGGUAGCGGCAGAGGGAAUUCCCGGUGGAGCGGUGAAAUGCGUUGAGAUCGGAAGGAACACCAGUGGCGAAGGCGGCUACCUGGACAGAUACUGACGCUGAUGCACGAAAGCUAGGGGAGCAAACAGGAUUAGAUACCCCUGUAGUCCUGUCUCUUAUACA